UGCAAGUCGAACGGCAGCACAGGAUAGCUUGCUCUCUGGAGGGCGAGUGGCGUACGGGAGAGGAAUACAUCUGAAUCUACUUUUUCGUGGGGGAUAACGUACGGAAACUUACGCUAAUACCGCAUACGACCUACGGGUGAAAGCUCGGGAUCUUCGGACCUUGCGCGAUUGACUGAGCCGAUGUCGGAUUAUCUAGUUGGAGGGGUAAAGGCCCACCAAGGUGACGAUCCGGACCUGGACUGAGAGGAUGAUCAGCCACACUGAAACUGAGACACGACCCAUACUCCUACGGGAGGCGGCAAUGGGGAAUAUUGGACAAUGGGCGCGAGCCUGAUCCACCCAUACCGCGAGGAUGAAGAAGGCCUUCGGGUUGUAAAGCCCUUUUGUUGAAAAAGAAAUCCAUCUGGCUAAUACCCGGUUGGGAUGACGGUACCCAAAGAAUCAGCUCCGUUUAACUUCGUGCCCGCAGCCGCGGUAAUGCGAAGGGUGCAAGUGUUACUCACAGUUACUGGACGUAAAGCGUGCGUAGGUGGUCGUUUAAGUCCGUUGUGAAAGCCCCGGCCUCAACCUGGCAACUGCAAUGGAUACUGGGCAACUAGAAUGAGGUAGAGGGAAUUGCAUGUCCUGGUGUAACAUGGAAAUGCAUAGAGAUGAAGAGGAACAUCCAUGGCGAACGCAUGUACCUGGACUGACACUGACACUGAAGCACGAAAGCGUGGAGAGCAAACAGGAUUACUGACCCUGGUAGUCCACACCGAAGACGAUGAGAUCUGGAUGUUGGGUGCAAUUUGGCACUCAGUAUCGAAGAUAACGCGUUAAAUGUCCACCGCGGGGAGAGCGGUGGCAAGAGUUAAAAUCAAAGGAAUUUACGGGGGGCCGCACACACGGUGGAGUACGUGGUUUAAUUUGAUACAACACGAAGAACCCUUCCCGGCCCCGACACAUCGAGAACUUUCCACAGAUAGAUUGGUGCCUUUUGGAACUCUAACACAGGUGUUGCAUAGCUGUGUUCAGCUCGUGUCGUGAGAUAUUGGGUUAAGUCCCCCAACGAGCGCACCCCCUUUCCUUAGUUUCCAGCACGUAAUGGUGGGACCUUUAAGGAGGCCGCCGGUGACCAACCGGAGGAAGGUGGGGAAGACGUCAAGUCAUCAUGGCCCUUACGGCCCAGGCUACACACGUACUACAAAUGUAGGGACAGAAGGGUGCACACCGGCGGAGGUAAACCAAUCCCAGAAAACCGUUUCAGUCCGGAUUGGCAUUUGCAACUUGACUCCAUGAAGUCGGAAUCGCUAGUAAUUGCAGAUCAGCAUUGUCGCGGUGAAUACGUUCCCGGGCCUUGUACACACCGCCCGUCACACCAUGGGAGUUUGUUGCACCAGAAGCAGGUAGCUUAACC
rnacentral:rRNA from 1 species